rnacentral:rRNA from 1 species
GUAGUCAUAUGCUUGUCUAAAAGAUUAAGCCAUGCAUGUCUAAGUUUAAGUAAGUAACAGCGAAACUGCGGACGGCUCAUUAAAUCAGUUAUAGUCUAUUUGACAAAAAAGCAAUCGGAUAACUGCAGUAAUUCUGGAGCUAAUACGUGCACGUAACCUUCGGGUGCGCUUGUGAGUAAAGGCACAAAAUUAAUGAAAUAUUACAAUCUUGCGGAUCGCACAGCCUUGUGCUGGCGACGGUUCAUAUGAAUAUCUGCCCUAUCAAGUUUCGAUGGUAGUGUAGUGGACUACCAUGCUUGCAACGGGUAACGGGGAAU